rnacentral:rRNA from 1 species
CCUACGGGUGGCAGCAGUGGGGGAUAUUGCACAAUGGGGGGAACCCUGAUGCAGCGACGCCGCGUGGGUGAAGAAGUGCUUCGGCAUGUAAAGCCCUAUUGGCAGGGAAGAAGCAAGACGGUACCUGACUAAGAAGCCCCGGCUAACUACGUGCCAGCAGCCGCGGUAAUACGUAGGGGGCGAGCGUUAUCCGGAUUCACUGGGUGUAAAGGGGGCGUAGACGGCCAAGCAAGCCGGGGGUGAAAGCCCGGGGCUCAACCGUGGGACUGCCCUUGGAACUGCAUGGCUGGGGUGCGGGAGGGGCAGGCGGAAUUCCUGGUGUAGCGGUGAAAUGCGUAGAGAUCAGGAGGAACACCGGCGGCGAAGGCGGCCUGCUGGACCGUGACUGACGUUGAGGCGCGAAAGCGUGGGGAGCGAACAGGAUUAGAUACCCGAGUAGUC